rnacentral:rRNA from 1 species
UUGGGUCUGAAAAAAGCCCAAUGCAAAGUUAGUACAGCAGUGGGGAAUUUUGGUCAAUGGCCUAAGGGCUGAACUGGCAAUUUGGGUAAACGAAACAGAAUUGUAACUUACUAAAAUAAAGUUUUAAGUACGUAUUAAUAAUGAUAAUAUGUAUAAAAGUCUUGACCAAUUACGUGCCAGCAGUCGCGGUAAUACGUAGGAGACGAGCAUUAUUCAUAUUAAAUAGGUUUAAAGGGUACCCAAACGGUCAAAAUACCUGAAAUAUAGGAGUACUUGACUAGAGUUAUAUGUAAGAAGACCGUACUUGAGGUGGAGAGAUUAUAUUUUAUGAUACCAAAAGGACUGAUAACGGCGAAGGCUGUCUUUUAUGUAAUAACUGACGUUGAAGGACGAAGGCAUAGAUAACUAACAGGAUUCGUUACCCUAGUAGUCUUUGCAGACAAUGAUGAAUGCCAUUAACUAGAUACUAAUUUUAGUUAUAUAAAUGAAAAUGAAAGCAUUUCACCUCAAGAGUAAUGUGGCAACGCAGG